rnacentral:rRNA from 1 species
CUGUGGAGCUUUAGACACCAAAACAGAUCACGUCAAAACCCCCUUAUAAAGGGCCAAACAGCCGAACCCUGUUUCAAUGUCUUCGGUUGGGGCGACCACGGUGGAACCACAAAACCCCCGCGUGGAAUAAGAGCACCCUCUGCUCUCACACUCAAGAGCCCCCGCUCUAAUAUACAGAACUUCUGACCAACAAGAUCCGGCAACGCCGAUCAACGAACCAAGUUACCCCAG